AACACCAUCACCAUCACCAUCACCAACACCAACAAAUGAUCCGGUGGACAUUGAUUUAGUCCUGGACUUGCGCAUCCCAGUCUCCAGUGUGCCAUCAAAUUUCACUCAUCUAUUAAGAAAUUUCCCAUUGCCCUACAUAAUCAGUCAAUCUUUGACAAUAAUAGAUUUAAACUUCACCACAUGGUGCUCUCCCAACUCCACUGGAGGACUGCAGUGUGAGUGUGAGGAGCAGUUUGCUUGGUCACGUGACAAGUGUGACAUCUACGGUGCGUGCACUAAUGUCACCAGUCCGACCUGUAGCUGCAUCAAUGGACUUCCUUCAGAUGGAGAGUUCUGUGAACCAGUCAGAGUGAAUACAACUACAACAACGACAACAACGCCAGUGAUCACA